UACGGAGGGUGCAAGCGUUAUCCGGAUUCACUGGGUUUAAAGGGUGCGUAGGCGGCUUUGUAAGUCAGUGGUGAAAUAUGGCAGCUUAACUGUCAAGGUGCCAUUGAUACUGCGGAGCUUGAGUACAGAUGAGGUAGGCGGAAUUGACGGUGUAGCGGUGAAAUGCUUAGAUAUCGUCAAGAACACCUAUAGCGAAGGCAGCUUACUAGGCUGUAACUGACGCUGAGGCACGAAAGUGUGGGGAUCAAACAGG
rnacentral:rRNA from 1 species